CAAACAAAGAGGAUAUCUUUUUCUUUCAGACCUAUAUUAUGGUUUGAAUGCUUUUAUAAAUGUUGAAAUAAAUGCUAGCAAGUAAUUGGGUUAAUAUUCUCUAGAAUUUGUUUUAAAGGAGUUUCCAUUCCCAGAAUGACAGAUUUAUUGUUUUAGAAUUAGAGAAGAUCAUCUCACAGAUUAUAGAGACAUGGGCGUGGGAUUGUGCCAUUGUAACUGGCUGCCUAUAUUAUUAUUAACCCUUUCCUGGAUCAGAAAAAAGAAAAAAGGUUUGUGAAUUGGGAAACAACCAAAAGCAAAUUCCUGUAAUCAGAGCAGGUGGUUGGUAGAAGAUAUGAAAACAAUGCAACAGCAAUAUCCAAGGAGUCUCUGCAAGCAACUGGGCAGCAGAGAAGCAAAUCUACUAAAAAGGAGACCUAUCCCAGAAUGUCCAAGAAAAGAGGCUUCUAGAGACCAGACAACUACAUGUAACAUCUGAGAUCCAAAAUGAAACAGUGAUUAAAUGGACUUUGGG